rnacentral:hammerhead_ribozyme from 1 species
AUCCAUCUGACGAGUCUCAAAUAGGACGAAACGCACAUCUUCGAU